GAUGAGCGCUGGCGGCGUGCCUAACACAUGCAAGUCGAGCGAUCUUCUUCGGAAGAGAGCGGCGGACGGGUGAGUAACGCGUGGGUAACCUGCCCUGUACACACGGAUAACAUACCGAAAGGUAUGCUAAUACGAGAUAAUAUACUUUUAUCGCAUGGUAGAAGUAUCAAAGCUCCGGCGGUACAGGAUGGAACCGCGUCUGAUUAGCUAGUUGGUAAGGUAACGGCUUACCAAGGCGACGAUCAGUAGCCGACCUGAGAGGGUGAUCGGCCACAAUUGAACUGAGACACGGUCCAAACUCCGACGGGAGGCAGCAGUGGGGAAUAUUGCACAAUGGGCGAAAGCCUGAUGCAGCAACGCCGCGUGAGCGAUGAAGGCCUUCGGGUCGUAAAGCUCUGUCCUCAAGGAAGAUAAUGACGGUACUUGAGGAGGAAGCCCCGGCUAACUACGUGCCAGCCGCCGCUGUAA
rnacentral:rRNA from 1 species